rnacentral:misc_RNA from 1 species
AACGCACAUUGCGCCCGCCAGCAUUCUGGCGGGCAUGCCUGUCCGAGCGUCAUUUCGACCCUCGAGGCCCCUACCGCUCCCCGGGAAGGGCCUCGGUGUUGGGGGACGGCCCGCCCCCGGGCGGCCGCCGCCCCCGAAAUGCAGUGGCGACCACCGCCGCGUCCUCCCCUGCGCAGUAAGCACAGCCCUCGCACCGGAGCGCGGCAGGCGGUCACGCCGUGAGACGCCUCAACCCCUUCUGGAGUUGACCUCGGAUCAGGUAGGACUACCCGCUGAACUUAA